rfam:Triticum aestivum genome assembly, contig: Triticum_aestivum_CS42_TGACv1_scaffold_343464_4DL
AAUCUACUCCCUCCGUUCCAUAUUACUUGUCGCUGAUUUAGUACAAGUUGUACUAAAUCAGCGACAAGUAAUAUGGAACGGAGGGAGUAUAUA